rnacentral:rRNA from 1 species
CACUAUCGUUAACUGAAUACAUAGGUUAACGAGGCGAACCGGGGGAACUGAAACAUCUAAGUACCCCGAGGAAAAGAAAUCAACCGAGAUUCCCCCAGUAGCGGCGAGCGAACGGGGAGCAGCCCAGAGUCUGAAUCAGCUUGUGUGUUAGUGGAACGGUCUGGAAAGUCCGACGGUACAGGGUGAUAGUCCCGUACACCAAAAUGCACAGGCUGUGAACUCGAAGAGUAGGGCGGGACACGUGGUAUCCUGUCUGAAUAUGGGGGGACCAUCCUCCAAGGCUAAAUACUCCUGACUGACCGAUAGUGAACCAGUACCGUGAGGGAAAGGCGAAAAGAACCCCGGCGAGGGGAGUGAAAAAGAACCUGAAACCGUGUACGUACAAGCAGUGGGAGCACCUUUAUGGUGUGACUGCGUACCUUUUGUAUAAUGGGUCAGCGACUUAUAUUCUGUAGCAAGGUUAACCGUAUAGGGGAGCCGCAGGGAAACCGAGUCUUAACUGGGCGUUAAGUUGCAGGGUAUAGACCCGAAACCCGGUGAUCUAGCCAUGGGCAGGUUGAAGGUUGGGUAACACUAACUGGAGGACCGAACCGACUAAUGUUGAAAAAUUAGCGGAUGACUUGUGGCUGGGGGUGAAAGGCCAAUCAAACCGGGAGAUAGCUGGUUCUCCCCGAAAGCUAUUUAGGUAGCGCCUCGUGAACUCAUCUUCGGGGGUAGAGCACUGUUUCGGCUAGGGGGUCAUCCCGACUUACCAACCCGAUGCAAACUACGAAUACCGAAGAAUGUUAUCACGGGAGACACACGGCGGGUGCUAACGUCCGUCGUGAAGAGGGAAACAACCCAGACCGCCAGCUAAGGUCCCAAAGUCAUGGUUAAGUGGGAAACGAUGUGGGAAGGCACAGACAGCCAGGAUGUUGGCUUAGAAGCAGCCAUCAUUUAAAGAAAGCGUAAUAGCUCACUGGUCGAGUCGGCCUGCGCGGAAGAUGUAACGGGGCUAAACCAUGCACCGAAGCUGCGGCAGCGACAC